GACUGUGUGUCAUGAACAGCAUCAGGGCGACAGAAGAGUCUGUGAGAGGCGAGGGCUGUCUGGUUGGAUGGGAGUCCCUUCGAUCAGCACUGUCAGCCGAAGGCAGCUACCUGAGAAAAGGGACUGAGGCUGCCAAGAAGCCUAAAUGUGUCAAGUCUGUCCCAAAAGAAGAGGCCAAAACAUCAGCUUUCAUUCCUAGCAAAGUGGUAGGAAGAACAGAAAUCCACCACAGACAGGAAUAAGGAGAAACCAGGAAAAUGUUAAAACAAGUUUAACGGCUACAUGGGUUAGAAUUCCAAGGAGCCUCAGCCAUAGAGUAAGUCUGCAUCACCAGCCAACUCUUUCCAAUGGAUCAUCACCAGACAUACAGCAAGAGUGCCGUAUACUAACUACUGGGAAUAAGGCAGGUGAGUUGAGAGUCAUCUUAUGGGAACUUCCUGAAAUUAAGGCAGGAGUCAGAGCAUAAAACUGAACAAUUCCCUUAGGUACCUCAGGAGUGAACUAGUAUUAGGCUAUGUAAUGUAAAUAAAUCUUCAGAGUUUUGCCAGGGCUCAGAUUCCACUCCCUGCUAAAAGGAAAGUCAUGAUACUGCCCUAAAAACACCUGAAGUCAGUGAUGAAAUGAAUCUAACUAAAGUUUUGGCAAACUCACACCCAUUUCAAUUAUAAAUGAGAUUGACUCAGCCCACUCACCAGUGUCCUGAUAAAAGAGCAUGCCCUUUUAAAUUUCUACAGCCUUUACAAUUCUUUUACACACAAUAUCUGUCACCCUAUCAAAAACUAUGAGGCACGCAAAAAGAGAAGAAAAUAUAACAUAGUCAAGAGAAGGAAUAGCCAAAAGAAGCAGACCCAGAGAUAAUACAGAUGUUAGAGUCAUUAGGCAAGAAUUUUUAAAUAACUACAAAAAAAAAAAAAAAG